rnacentral:misc_RNA from 1 species
GAUGAAGAACGCAGCGAAAUGCGAUAAGUAGUGUGAAUUGCAGAAUUCAGUGAAUCAUCGAAUCUUUGAACGCACAUUGCGCCCGCCAGUAUUCUGGCGGGCAUGCCUGUUCGUGCGUCAUUUCGACCCUCAAGCACAGCUUGGUGUUGGGACUCGCGUUAAUUCGCGUUCCCCAAAUUGAUUGGCGGUCACGUCGAGCUUCCAUAGCGUAGUAGUAAAACCCUCGUUACUGGUAAUCGUCGCGGCCACGCCGUUAAACCCCAACUUCUGAAUGUUGACCUCGGAUCAGGUAGGAAUACCCGCUGAACUUAAGCAUAUCAUAAGCGGAGGA